GAGCACGUAGGUGGGUUUGUAAGUCAGAUGUGAAAGCCUUCUGUUCAACGGAAGAAUUGCAUCUGAAACUGCGAGUCUUGAGUGUAGGAGGGGAGAGUGGAACUUCUGGUGGAGCGGUGAAAUGCGUAGAUAUCAGAAGGAACGCCGGCGGCGAAAGCGAUUCUCUGGCCUAUUACUGACACUCAGUGUGCGAAAGCUAGGGGAGCAAACGGGAUUAGAUACCCCGGUAGUCCUAGCCGUAAACGAUGGGCACUAAGUAGAGGGGUUUU
rnacentral:rRNA from 1 species